rnacentral:rRNA from 1 species
UACGAGGGGUGCAAGCGUUGCUCGGAAUUAUUGGGCGUAAAGGGUAGGUAGGUGGUCUUAUUUGUCAGACGUGAAAUCCCUCAGCUUAACUGGGGAACUGCGUCUGAUACUGGGAUGGCUUGAGUUUGGGAGAGGGAUGCGGAAUUCCUGGUGUAGCGGUGAAAUGCGCAGAUAUCAGGAAGAACACCCGUGGCGAAGGCGGUUCUCUGGAACGGUACUGACGCUGAGACGCGAAAGCGUGGGGAGCGAACAGG